rnacentral:lncRNA from 1 species
UUUUUUUUUUUUUUUUUCAGUGAAAAUGAAGGUCUCUCAACCACAGACUGUUGUGCUAUCAAAGACAAAGAAGACUUUUUUUUUCACUGUCACUUUUAGAAUUGGAAUCUGGCAAGUGAGGCAGGCAGUUCAUAUUCACAAAGUAGCACAGCAUGCAAGGCUGCCUCUGUAGGAAUGCAGCCAUCCAUAGCCUGCCGUAGCAUCAUAUGACAUCAGCUGGCCCAAGACCAACAUACCAGGGGGUUCCAGGUCACAUGUCCCGAGACACUAUAAGCCAAGUGAACCUCACCAAGUCUAUUGCCCUAUCUCUAUGACCUAGGAGCCCUCAGAAAGAAAAGAUCUGGGAAAACUGUGUCAGUGUAUAAUUUCAAAUCCUUCAGCUAUUUUUCUAGCAAAUUUUCUUGCCAGGCUGAAUAGGGUGGAGGGUUGUAAUACAAACUGCUUUACUCAAGUAAAUAGUCACCCACUAAAAUCCUUGAUCCUAAUGCAUGUGAACCCACCCCAUUCCCAACUUUCUGACUAAUGCCACUGUCUUGCUUUACUUUCACAUCGACUGGCCAUUCCCAGGAUAUUUGUCAGGGAUUAUAGGUAAGGUAUGUUGGCACAAAAUGAAGAACCAUAAAGAUGCCAAUGAAAAGAGAACCCAGACGGCAAUAAAUUGUAGGUGCUUAUUAACCAAUUCACUUGGUAGGCCUUUUGACAAAAUUUCAUAUUUUUAUGAUAAUUUCCACCAUUUCAUUUUCUUUAAUUCCUAUUUCAUUGUCUGAUCGCUUGAUUUAACACAGGAUGAUUCCAAAAAACAUGAAUUCUUGAUUAACUUUUUUAAGAGGUGGGGAAAAAAAAUGAAAUGGCAUUUGUUUGUACCAUACCUUCUGAAGCUUUAUUGGGCUGCUCACUGAGCGGAAAUAAAACAUUUCUGACUUUGGCCAGCCAUUCCACUGCAGUGAUAAUUAAGCAAAAUCUUACAAAAAAAAAAAAAAAAUCCCUUUGCUGCAUUUUGAAUCCUUUUCCCUGUGUUAGUUGCUCCCUUUCCAAGACAGCAGGACAGACCAUACCAAUUUAGGAGAAUUUGCAAUAUCCCAGAUGGCAGAACUUUAUUGUUAAAGUGAGCAAUUUUAGCUAUUCCCAACACAAAGGCACACUUACCAUAUCUUUCCUAUUCUAAUUUUCUAGCCUACAUUACGAAGAGAAAGAAAAGAACACUUUCUCUGAAGAUAAUCUUAUAUUUCAAAAUUAACCCAUAAUCUCCUCCCAUUUAUUAUAUAUACAAACUAAUUUUUAUUUAAAAAAAAUGAAAAUACAGUAUGAGCUCUGGAGUCAGAGAGAAUGAAAUUCAAAUCUGGUUCCACCACUCAGGAGCCCUUUGAAUCUGGGUAAAUUACAUAACUAGUCUUAGCCUUGGUUUUCUCAUCUCAAAAAUGGGGAUAAUAGAAAAACCAUCUGUUAAGUAUUCAUCCAAUAGGCACUACUGCAGGUGGGGUGAAACUCUGGAAUUUUGGUAUUUUUUUCCCCUUGUGAGAUGAUUCCUUAAGAACCUAGACCAAAGCUCACUUACCUUGUUUAUUGCUCAAUGGAAAAGGAGCCAUCAAUCAGCCAAGCCUUACAAUUCUACAGGUAGGGAUCCCACAGAACAACAUUCAGAGAAUUGUCUGCACGUAAGGAAGAUUGACAGGCCCCAACACAAUCAUUUUCCUUUCAAAGAGGCAGUCACACCACAAAGAAAAGUGGGAUGUUUUUGUAGAUAAAUGAAAAGGUCCUUUUCCCUUUUGCUAGAAUCCCCUCCUCUUUGGGUUCCUCUUGCUAUACUGAUCUGUUUCUCCAUUUUGUUUUCUCCUAUGUUCUCCCUUUCUUUUCGCUUUCCCCUCCAGGUGACAUUUAACAUUUUCUACUCACUUGCUAUUCUGCUAACCUUUUUUUCCUUUCCCAUUCUUCUCUUUAAGUAUGCACUUGCUAAGUGACACCACAAUUCACCAUGACAAACCUCAGAACAUUAGGGGAUCUAGCUAACCCCGAAUCAUUAUUUAAUUUAUAUAAGUCUCUGUAUUAAAAUUAUGACUGGCAGUAGCACCUUUGCGCUGUGAAAAUGAUUGAGGGCCUCGCUCCUCUUUUCACAUUACUUCCAUUACACACUUCAUGUAGCCCUUUCCACGUAAGCUUAACGUUCUAGAGAGAAGUGGUCUUAACUUUCCUCACUGAAACCCUCAGGAAGAAGUUAAGUUCACUUCCAGGUCUUUUUAUGAUAACAGCGAUUUUAAGAGCAAGCAUACUGAGACACUAAAGAAUUGAAUGAUGUUUUGGAGUCUCCCAGAACCCAAGGUUAUACUGAGACUAGAGCUUAUCUCCUAUAACCCUAAAUAUAGCACUAUAGAAACAAACUACAUUUAUUCAUAAAUGUCUAUAGUCCCUUUUCUGCAAAUGUGAUUCUCCUUUCUAAUUAUGGCACUACAAGGAUCUGCUCCUUGACUUUAAAUAACCUUUCCUGAAUUUACCAGGUGACCUAAACUCAGUUACAAUCUCCAUAGGCGAAAGUAUCUGCUAAACAUGAGGUUCUUUGACAUACGUGAUUUCAUUAAAAUAAAAAACCUCUAAGCUAUAAGUUGUCCUCACUUAACAACCAAAGAAACUAAGAUUCAGGGGUGGAGAGGGAAAGCUGAUGGUAAUGUGCCUGGAUUUAGAAGGCUCUCAAAAAUGCUUAUUAAACAUAUGGUCCAAAAUCAACAGCUUUGGAGAGAAACAGAAUUUGAACUCAAGUCCUCCUACCAUUACCUCGAUGUGUACCCUAUACAUUCCUCCUUUUGUGUGCUUGUUCAUAUUGUUUUCUUUUCCAGGAAUGUUUUUCCCACAAUCUUUGUAUAUUGAAAUCCUAUCUAUGCACCAGACUUGGGUCUCACAUGCCUUCCUCUAGGGACAGUCUAAGAUUCCCUUAAUGUUCACUUAUCCUUCUUCACCCAUCUUCAUCUGUGUAGACACAGCAUUUUGCUCAAACCUUUGUUAGAAGAUUUCAAAAGUCAACACAAUUUGAACAAAUAAACUUCCCCUAAGAUAAGAAUUAUUUUAUAUUUGCCUCUCUCCAGGAACAUUGAUGCAUCUAGCUAUUCACUUGUUUUUGAAACAAUUCCUGUUACUUAUUAUAUGCAGGACACUGAUGCAUGUGGGAGUGAGCAAGUUUGGUGGUGUUCCUACUUUCAUGGAGUUUAUACUGGGGAGGGGAGAUAAGGUGGGCAAAAUAAUUACAAAAUAUGAUCACUAUUAUUAGAAAGCUUUAGGGUGAUGAGACAUAGGGUAACUGGGGAAGGCCACUGAGAUUAACAAAACACUUCUCAGGAAUGACAUGUGAUCUAAGGCCUGAGGAAGGAGAAUCAACAGGCUAUGAAAAGACCAUAGGAAAGGCAUUAUAGUGGGGGGGGGGGGGGGACAGUGGGGGGGGCGGGGCUUGGAUAAGCCCCAGACUGGUGAAGGAGGUCAGAGAGAACUAAGAGGGAAGAUGCCAAGACUAGGGAGCAGGGACAGGCCAGGCAGAUAUUUAUCUCCUACACAACAGUGGUGUGGUAUAAAAUGUGUGCUUGGAGUCAGGCACAACUAGGUCCAACUGCCUCAUCCCUUACAAGCUGUGUGUCCUUGGACAAAUCCCUCAGUCUGAUUCUUAAAAGCCUUAUAUGAAGAAAAAACUGGAGAUAAAGAGAACAAUAAAGGUAUUGAAUGGGAACUGUGUUGUAUAAUGCUGAGCUGGAAAUCCACAGAACUAUGAGGCCCCAAACCAGCUAUGGGUUCCAACCUGGGCAACUGCGCUGUUCUCAGUAGGCAUGUGUCACUUGCAGUGCCUUGAAGCUGAUGAAAAGGCAGGAGAACACAAAGCCUGUCUUGCCUAAAGACCAGCUCUAAGACAAAGGCACCUCCAUAUCCCAUGGAGAUGGUGUCAAAUUUUGCAAUUAAGCUGGGGCCUCUCCUCAGAAUGCAGAGUUGGGUUUUGGUGCUGUCACCCUGUACCACGUUGACAAAUGAACACAACACUCUCAAAUGCUGACUCUGUUUUUUGAAUUCUAAAAGUAGAACACAUGCAACAAUAGGUUCCAUUCUUCCCUGAACCCAAUAUACCAUCCUCCUCACACGCAUUAGAGAUGGCAUUCCAGGGCUCUCAGUCAUUUAUUGAAAUGAAGAAAUCAUACCUUGUGCCAAAUUUAAAAAGGAGAAUUUUUCCAGAGAUCAAAAUAGAAAAAUAGAACAGGGGAAUAGGAUGCUAGAGACUGCUCACUUGUGGCUCCGCUGACCAAGGAACAUCAGUGGAACCUUCCUUGGAAUUCAUUUCAAUGUCAGAAGGGCAUCUUGAUGCAAAGGCAAAGUGUAAAGUGCAUUUUGUUAUACUGCUGCAAGACGAAAUUAGUCAUUCUUGUCCCAAAAUAAAAUGAAAAUAUAAGCAGUCAACAUUAAUUACCUGGAGAUGAGAACAGUAAAGAAAGCAUAGCCACUGUUGAAGGUAAACUCAGAAAUUUAGAGGCAAAUUUAAAUGGAAAAACAGAAAUCUAUGAAAUCUAUGAGAAAUUUUGGUCCUACAAAGAGAAUCUAUUAUUUUUAACUAAAUAGCCACAUUCAGAAAAUUAGGUAAUGAUAUUUUUCAUCAUAAUUGAAAAAGUUAAUCCAUUUAUUUAAUAUUCUGCUAACACCAUUUUCACACACAGCAAAAAUUCUCUCUCCAGUAUGUUAGUUAUAAAGCUUAAGUCUACUAAAUUUUACCAACAGAGAAUAAACUUUUUAUCUGUUCUCUGUCUUUUCAUUACAUAUUUUUAUGCCUUUAGGUCUCUGUUUGUUGACUGUGGAGUGUGCGGAAAGAAUUAAUAUUCUCAACGUUUUUUCCCAGAUAAAUACCCUAUAAAUUGUAAGUAAUACUUCUUGUACUCAAUGAAGAUUCAAUAUAUUAGAACGGUCUGGAUUUUUACAUGGUGGUAUUUACCGACAUUAAUAAUUAUAUGGAUUUACAAAUAACCACACACACCCCCUUCAUAGAAUGCCUUAAUUAACUUGUCCAGGAUUUGGAAUCCCGACAGUCUACGAAGUCAGCAGGAUCAUUAAACCCAAUCAUAUUUUCAACCUAACCUGAUAUUUCACUAGAGCCAUUCAAAUCAAUUUACCCAACAGAGACAUUUGUCCCUGGCCUGUCACCACAGCCCGUACCAAGCGUCCUACACUUCUUUAUCUUUUGGCAGGGCCAUCAUAAGCGAGCGACACAGAGGGUGAUGUAUGAGAACUCAAAUAAGUCAUAAAUCCCACAGCCUGUCAUCUCCCGUCAGGCGGACUGAAUUUACGCCCACUGGCCUUGGCAAUGGCUCUUAGCUCAGCUCUGAGAAAGUCAACUUAAAACGACACACUCUGUUAGGAGUGAAUCUCUUCUCAAUGGGACCAGGAAAACACAGAAGAGAAAAGGGAAAGGGGAGAUGUCAGGAUACUUUUCUCUGUAACUUGGGUAGAGGCCACCAACCCCUUUUCCCUUUAGAAUUAGAAUAACUUUAAUAGAACAAUGGUCAUCCCUGCUUCAUGCCUCUUAUAAAAUGACCAGAAAUCACCCAUUCUAUUCUGCCUUCUAACUGGAGUGAGUGGUAUAGAAUUAAGAAGGUAGCCAGUGGUACUCAGGUAUUAUGUGGCUACCAUAUGCUACAAGAACAAAGAUUUGCUCAAGGAACUCGGGAGAACCAGGGAUCUUAAGUGCACCAUGAAUAAUGGAAAUAGGUCCUACAGAUG